UUUCCGUAGGUGAACCUGCGGAAGGAUCAUUACCGAAACGUCCGGGAAACAGGACGCUAAACAUGCCACGCGGACCAGCGUUCGCAUCUACUUCUCGUAUUUGUCAGCUCUUCUCCCUUCUUUCUGUCGCACAGGGAUCUCGGCGCCAAUUCUUUCUGGGCGCCGGGCUCCUCCAGGGACACUUUUCCUUCUGCCGGCCUUGGGUGGUCUUCGGGGGUGCUCUGCAAAAACCAACGCGGGCUCUGGUAGUAGGCGCAAUCGGGCGGAAGCUUUGGAGGCGCGCGGCUGUCGGGGACCGGAUCGGAGCGGAGAGCAUGCUGGAGGCGCGCAGGGCUUGGGGGGGGGCGGGUGUGUCUCAGACACAGAACCCCGUGAAACUAAAAUCGUUAUGCGAUGUCGGGCGAGGGGCGUCUCGCCGAGCUCUUCGUGAGCUCGAACCAAAGCGUUACCCACAAACCACACCAAACUCUGAAUCUGAACUCAAAAGGAGGCGCCGCGCUCCGCGUCGCGCCUUCUCAACCUUUAACGUUGUAAAACUUUCAGCGACGGAUGUCUUGGCUCCCACAACGAUGAAGAACGCAGCGAAAUGCGAUACGUCUUGCGACUUGCAGAAUCCAGUGAAUCAUCAAAACUUUGAACGCAUCUUGCGCUUCCGGGAUAUGCCUGGGAGCAUGCUUGUCGGAGUGUCUGUUGACACCCCUCGCCCCCCCGUCUUUUGUUAUCUCUCACGAGAAAGAAGAGGCGAGAGGGCGGACUCUGCGUGUUCCGGAGCGCGAGCUCCGAGUGCACCGAACCUCGUGAACGCGAGACCUCUACUGCUGACUGACUGCACAGAGUUGUUGACGGCGCGUCUGCUUCGGCGGCGCGACUCCUCUACUCGCCACGUGCCUUGAGUUUCUGUAGUGGUCGUAGUUCCGGUUGCGCGCCCCUCCUCCUCCUUUUUGGGGGCGGCGGGCGCACUACCCCAACUUUCGUUCGGACCUCCGAUCAAGCAAGAGGACCCGCUGAAUUUAAG
rnacentral:rRNA from 1 species